CAGUGCGCAGGCGCAGUUCCCGGCACCCAGCGGCGUGUUCCUCUUUCCCCAGGUUUCCUGUAUCCUGGCAGGUGAGCGUCGCCGGCUCAUCGCGGUUGGCCUCCCGUCGCGGCUCGCCCUUUGCUCUGGACACUCGGACCUCAGCACCCCAGCUCCCGGGGCCGCUGCUCCGGCCCGCACGCCUCAACUGGCCACAGACCCAUGGCCGAGCGCGGAGAACUCGACCUGACCGGCGCCAAACAGAACACGGGAGUGUGGCUGGUCAAGGUUCCUAAAUAUUUGUCACAGCAAUGGGCUAAAGCCCCUGGAAGGGGUGAAGUUGGGAAGCUGCGGAUUGCCAAGAAUCAAGGAAGAACUGAGGUGUCAUUUACUUUGAAUGAAGAUCUCGCAAAUAUUCAUGAUAUUGGUGGAAAACCAGCUUCAGUCAGCACACCUAGAGAACAUCCAUUUGUCUUGCAAAGUGUUGGAGGACAGACAUUAACAGCAUUUACUGAGAGCUCAUCAGAUAAGCUGUCAUUGGAAGGAAUAGUGGUACAAAGAGCUGAAUGCCGACCAGCUGCCAGUGAAAACUACAUGAGAUUAAAAAGAUUGCAAAUAGAAGAAUCUUCCAAACCUGUAAGGCUAUCACAACAACUGGACAAAGUUGUAACAACCAAUUACAAGCCUGUUGCCAAUCAUCAAUACAAUAUUGAAUAUGAAAGGAAAAAGAAAGAAGAUGGAAAACGAGCCCGAGCGGAUAAACAACACGUUUUAGACAUGCUAUUUUCAGCCUUUGAGAAACAUCAGUAUUAUAACCUUAAGGAUUUGGUAGACAUAACAAAACAACCUGUGGGGUACCUGAAGGAAAUCUUAAAAGAAAUUGGUGUUCAGAAUGUAAAAGGGAUCCACAAAAACACAUGGGAGCUGAAGCCAGAGUACAGACACUAUCAAGGAGAAGAAAAGAGUGACUAAGAAGACCCCUAGCCAGCAUGCUAGCAGAACAGUGAAUGCUGAGCAAAGGGCUUGCUGCUGGAAUGCCUGAACAGUAUUCAGACGGGGAGCUGUUCCCAGGAUUGACUGCAAAUGGCCAGUGUAUUUGGUUAUUUACAUCCAAGACCACUCAGUGACUGCAAUGCCAGGCUCAUGGGACAAUUUCUGGCAUGGCUAAUUACAUUUGGGGGUCUUUGCCAAGGUCCCAUUUAGAUUAAUAGAAACAAAACAAAAUACUUCUACAUGAGCAUAUAUGUAUACAAAAGCACAGGAAAAAGGAAACACACCAAACUGUUAACAGUGCUGCUGCUGAGGAGGAGCCUAGGUGGCAAGACAAAGGUAAUUUGUCUUUAUAUGCAUAUUUUUAUGGUGAGAAAAUAUAUAUAUAUAUAUAUUAAUGAUAUGCACAAAAAUCAAACCCAAAAGAGGAGCAUGCCUUUUAUGAAGUAAACUAAAGACCAAGAAAUACAUAAUGGUCCAUUUCUACCCCACUGAGUGUGGGUUAGAACACAUCUGAAACCCUGCCAUCAGGGAAGAACCAUUCCCUAGACAACUAAGUGGGAGAAGAAGAUAGACGCAGUUCAGCAGACACUUCCUGAAUUUCACACGCCAGCGUCUGCUGGUGGCUCCUGCCAGGGAAAGGGGGAAGGGAAGCGGGUAGGGGUCGUUUAACAGUGUUGGAGGCCUUUACAGAUUCUCUUAGGAUUAACAGAUAAAUUCCAUCUCUCAAAGGGAAGAAAGUGCCUGGUCCAUUCAGCGACAUAGGCCUUGAAUUAAUCCUCCAUUGGCAGAGGGUCCACAAAAAGCCGAUAAGGGGGUGAGGCAUUUAUUUGCCACGGUAAAUUUGGGAAGUGAGUGUCACUGAAGGAGGAGAAACCUACAGCUGCUUUGAUGAUUCGCCAAAUGUUUGUGGAAGCAAUUUUGAGUAAACAUUUCCCAUAAUAGGAGGGGGAAGGUAAGAGAUGCACUGGUUUCAAAGCAGAGAAAAACCAAGGUAAGUUCUUGAUUCUGUCGUGGUGGAACUGUGAAAAAGCUAUGGGUAGAACUCAAGUCAGCUUGAGCUGAAGCUUGUUGCCAAAGUGCUAGCCACACAAUGUCCCCUUUCUUGUUACUGGUGUCUUUA